UCCGUAGGUGACCCUGCGGAAGGAUCAUUAAAUAA
rnacentral:rRNA from 1 species